GACGAACGCUGGCGGCGUGCCUAAUACAUGCAAGUCGAACGCUUCUUUCCUCCCGAGUGCUUGCACUCAAUUGGAAAGAGGAGUGGCGGACGGGUGAGUAACACGUGGGUAACCUACCCAUCAGAGGGGGAUAACACUUGGAAACAGGUGCUAAUACCGCAUAACAGUUUAUGCCGCAUGGCAUAAGAGUGAAAGGCGCUUUCGGGUGUCGCUGAUGGAUGGACCCGCGGUGCAUUAGCUAGUUGGUGAGGUAACGGCUCACCAAGGCCACGAUGCAUAGCCGACCUGAGAGGGUGAUCGGCCACACUGGGACUGAGACACGGCCCAGACUCCUACGGGAGGCAGCAGUAGGGAAUCUUCGGCAAUGGACGAAAGUCUGACCGAGCAACGCCGCGUGAGUGAAGAAGGUUUUCGGAUCGUAAAACUCUGUUGUUAGAGACGAACAAGGACGUUAGUAACUGAACGUCCCCUGACGGUAUCUAACCAGAAAGCCACGGCUAACUACGUG
rnacentral:rRNA from 1 species